rfam:Bursaphelenchus xylophilus, Ka4C1 (inbred line), WGS project CADV01000000 data, contig: scaffold00579.30
CAAACGGCCCUCUUUAGGGCCACAAGAACUUGCCAUAUUUAUCGUUGU